GGAUGUGAGCUGAGCUUGACAUCGUGUCCUGCCUGAGCUAACGCUAUGCUCAAUUUGUGUGUGCCUUCUAUUGUUGCAAAGCAAAAACGUGGUUAUGGAGGAUUAUAGCAGCUGUGGCUGGUGGUGGCGUAACCGUGGGCAUCAUCUUGGUGGUUUCUACAAUUCUCUGGAAAAGGAAAAGAACUGAGAAAUGUUCAUCCAAGAGACCAAAAGCAAACGACACUGGUUUACAGAGUGGUGAAGGAAUUUACAGUAUUGUCGUCUAUGAGUGUGACACUGAGUGACGACAGCAGCACCUCAGAGAAGCCUGAUACAUCAGCCCUGACUGACACACUGUACAGCACUCCAAAGUCAAUAUGAAAUACAAACAUUGUGUCUCUUGCUUCCUUUUCACUUUGCUUUCUUAGCGACAUGUAAUUUGAUGUUAAAAGUGCUUUACACGAGAGGAGUGAUUCACACACAUUUACCUCACAUGUACACAAAUUCAUUUUGUCACAGUGUGCACUUCUGACCUGCCAUACAUGUCAUUCUCUCAGUUAACCCAGUACAUUUCCACCCACCUGCCUCAGCUGCACACGUUUGAACUGUUUCCUGUUUGUAUGCAUCCCGCAAGCAAAAUAUUAAGGCCUCCAAUGUGGUAGAUUCAAUCUCAAUAAAGCACAUAUACUAGGUACUUUAAAAGGAUGUCAAGUGUGUUUCUGUGGCCUGUCUGUUAAUGUGAUCUACGUCUGAUGCUCGCUGUGGUUUUCCUGAAAGCAGCAAAUGACACUUUAGUUCAUGUAGUCAGACA